rnacentral:rRNA from 1 species
GAUGAACGCUGGCGGCGUGCCUAAUACAUGCAAGUCGAGCGAACAGACGAGGAGCUUGCUCCUCUGACGUUAGCGGCGGACGGGUGAGUAACACGUGGAUAACCUACCUAUAAGACUGGGAUAACUUCGGGAAACCGGAGCUAAUACCGGAUAAUAUAUUGAACCGCAUGGUUCAAUAGUGAAAGACGGUUUUGCUGUCACUUAUAGAUGGAUCCGCGCCGCAUUAGCUAGUUGGUAAGUUAACGGCUUACCAAGGCGACGAUGCGUAGCCGACCUGAGAGGGUGAUCGGCCACACUGGAACUGAGACACGGUCCAGACUCCUACGGGAGGCAGCAGUAGGGAAUCUUCCGCAAUGGGCGAAAGCCUGACGGAGCAACGCCGCGUGAGAGAUGAAGGUCUUCGGAUCGUAAAACUCUGUUAUUAGGGAAGAACAAAUGUGUAAGUAACUAUGCACGUCUUGACGGUACCUAAUCAGAAAGCCACGGCUAACUACGUG